rnacentral:rRNA from 1 species
AACGAACGUUAGCGGCGCGCCUAACACAUGCAAGUCGCACGAGAAAGGGCUUCGGCCCCGGUACAGUGGCGCACGGGUGAGUAACACGUGGGUAAUCUUCCCUUGGGCGGGGGAUAACCUUCCGAAAGGAGGGCUAAUACCGCAUAAGACCACGGUCUCGAAAGAGACUGCGGUCAAAGCAGGCCUCUUCAUGAAAGCUUGCACCUAAGGAUGAGCCCGCGGCCCAUCAGCUAGUUGGUAGGGUAAUGGCCUACCAAGGCGAAGACGGGUAGCUGGUCUGAGAGGAUGAUCAGCCACACUGGAACUGAGACACGGUACAGACUCCUACGGGAGGCAGCAGUGGGGAAUCUUGCGCAAUGGGCGAAAGCCUGACGCAGCGACGCCGCGUGAGUGAUGAAGGCCCUCGGGUUGUAAAGCCCUUUUGUACGGGAAGAAAUCCUGUCGGUUAAUACCCGGCGGGGAUGACGGUACCGUAAGAAUAAGCACCGGCUAACUUCGUGC